AAAUGAUCAACAAGUUUUGAGAUAUCUGCUGUGUCAAAAUCUACUAGAUAAUACUCACAUAGUCGAAAAACUCUGUGCUUAUCAAAAGCAACAAAUGAAUCAUUUGGGCAACGUCUAAUAAACGUUGCAAAAAGAGUAACUUUUUGCAACACUCAAUAAACCUUGUGAAAAUGUGACAUUAGCAACAUACAUUUAGAAAAUGUUGCCAAACCUCAACUAUAUAUACCAAUGGAAACAUUGACUUGUUAGAAUGUUGUGAUAGGCACUUCUAGCAACAUUCAAAUAACAAAUGUUGCCUUUUAUAUGUUGCAAAAGGCCAUUUUUGUUGUAGUGCAUGUCUGACCAUUGCCUUGAAAGAUUUAAGAUUGAGAUUGGCUCCUUAAAUUUGUGUCAACAAUCCUUGAAGGAAGAGAUAAUGGUUCUCCAUGAGCGAUUGAUAAGGUACACCGAAUACAUGAUCAUGGUCUCAUCCAACCAAAUUUAGGAAAAAUCUUUCCUAAAUAUGGGUGGUGGACAUGAUGAGUCUGUAUAACAUAACCAAAAUAAGGGAAAGGAAGUUAUUGGAAGUAGUGGGUCUAUUGUGCCAAAAUUAACAAAAUUGGAUUUUCCUCAUUAUAAUGGGAUGGAGGAUCCAACUGGAUGGAUAUGUAGAGCGUAACAAUUUUUUUAAUUCCAACAUACCAAUGAGGAAGAUAAGAUGUCAAUAGUCGGUUACCACUUGGAAGGUGACGUUUGACUUUGGUACCAAAGAUUUCGACAAGGAUAUGGAGCUGAUUAGGAGUGUUAAAAUUAGAGCUACAUUAAUGCGUGGUAUGGGCCAUCUCGAUUUCAAAAUUUCUUUGUUGAUUUCAAUAAACUCAAAUAGCAAGUGUAUAUGACUAUCAACUAGAAUCUAAUCGAUUAUUACACAGGGCUGGAAACUUUACGGAUGAGCAACAGGUGGGAUGAUCUGUAAGAUGAUUGAAGGAGGCAAUAAAGGCUGAUGUGCAAGCUGUUCGACCUGUAACUCUAUCAGGGGCAAUUGGUUUGGCUAGUCUCUGUGAGUCAAAGAUUCAAGACCUGAAAAAAGGGUGCAAGAAUAUAAAAAGUUUCUUUCCUUCUCAACUCUCCCAACACUGCCAUUCCCUAGCAUUCCAAAGAUCGAAAUCCCAUUAUUGAAAGGCUUAGUCCCGCUGAACUCAAAGCUAGGCCGGAACGUGGCUUUUGUUUCAAUUGUGUGAUGAAAAGUUUUCUCCUGGCCAUCUGUGUAAAACUUAUUUUUGAAUAAAUGGAUUUUUCCAGCAGCCGAAGAGGAUGAGAAUGAGGUGGCUCAAGCCAAGGAAUUUUUGGAAAUAAGCUUUUAUGUAAUUACUGGAGUGGUUGUUGGGAUUUUUGGUCCCAAAUCAGACUUUACCCUAAACGAUUUUAUAUUUUCAGCAUUACAGUCAAACCAAAAAUACUCAAUCGGUAAAAUCAAAACGCAGCAUCACAAACAAGUAAUUAAAGAACACAAACACCACAAAUUGGUGACCCAGUUCACCCAAAUAAGGGCUAAUCUGGGGGGCUCAGGGGUAAGCCCGUUGAAUGCAAUGCACUACGCCUUCCAAGGGUCCAGUUUACAAGUGGUACACAAUCAGAUUGUACUCCAAACCGAGAACAACAUCACCACUAUAUUCAGUCUCUAAAACCUCAAGAAUCAACCCUAAUCGAUCUAUACAAAAGAUCUCACAAUACUCCACCAAAUCGAAACCUGACCUACACCAAGUAUAGUAUCUGACUUCACAGUUUAAUCUCCACCAAAACAAGGCUAAAAACUGCUCAAAUACAAUACCAAACAUCGACUAUUUCUUUGCUGAAAACGGACCAAAUUUCCGGCCAAAAUACCACCGGACCGUAGACCACAAAAUAGCCGAAAUACUACCGUUGAUACCUCAUCAACCACCGGUCAGAAUUUCAGAUUUAAUACAAGUGGAAAACCUUGAGAAAUCACCAAGAAAGGGCAUCGAGAGAGAGAGAGACGAAAGGAAGAGGAGCCCAAAUUGAAAGAAAAGAAUCUGCCCACCUAAUUGCCAAAACCGUCCACGUGAAUGAAAAGUCCACCAAGUAAUAUAAAAGUGGAUCUAAUUCUCAACCAUUGAUUUUAAUCAAUGGUCCUUGUUUUUUCCAAACAAAAACCAAUCCUUGUGAAAGCCAAAAUUGCCAAUAGAAUUUUGCCAUGUGGCUUCAACCAC
rnacentral:lncRNA from 1 species